CGGGGGGCAGCAGUGGGGAAUUUUGGACAAUGGACGAAAGUCUGAUCCAGCCAUUCCGCGUGCAGGAUGAAGGCCCUCGGGUUGUAAACUGCUUUUGUACGGAACGAAAAGGUCUCUCCUAAUACGAGAGGCUCAUGACGGUACCGUAAGAAUAAGCACCGGCUAACUACGUGCCAGCAGCCGCGGUAAUACGUAGGGUGCAAGCGUUAAUCGGAAUUACUGGGCGUAAAGCGUGCGCAGGCGGUUAUAUAAGACAGAUGUGAAAUCCCCGGGCUCAACCUGGGAACUGCAUUUGUGACUGUAUAGCUAGAGUACGGUAGAGGGGGAUGGAAUUCCGCGUGUAGCAGUGAAAUGCGUAGAUAUGCGGAGGAACACCGAUGGCGAAGGCAAUCCCCUGGACCUGUACUGACGCUCAUGCACGAAAGCGUGGGGAGCAAACAGGAUUAGAUACCCGAGU
rnacentral:rRNA from 1 species